rnacentral:lncRNA from 1 species
AUAUAAUGACAAUAAAUUAUAUGCUCCAUUAGUUUGGAACAAACACUGGUGAGGGAAAUUGGACGGUAAUUGUGGCACGAUGACGAUGGUCCUUUUUUUGGCACUGGAAUUAUCUUACCUAUUUGCCAGUCCUGCGGCACCCCUCCAGAUGAUAAUGAUUGCUGAAAGAUAUGACACAAAAUUACACUAGAGAUGUGCGCAGUGUUCUUAAGCAUUUUGGAAUUGAUUCCAUCGAUGCCGGCCGACGAUGUUAAUUUGAGGGAUUCUAUUAGCUUGGUGAUGCCGUAUGCGUCAAGUGUUAUGUCUGGCAUGAUUGGGUGGUUGAGGCAAGGACAGUUUGGGAGGUCAGUGUUAGGCUCAGAAGUGAAAACGGAAGAGAAGACAGAGUUAAGUAUUUCACAUGCUUUAUGGUCAGGAACACGGUUAUUGUCGUCAUCAUACAAUAAUAAUGGUUUAUAGUUAUUUGGGUUAAUGUAUUUCCAGAAAUGUUUGGGAGUAUUUUGCAGCAUGCUAGGGAGCGUUGAUGAGAAUAAGGUUCGUUUCGCUGUUGCGGCCAAAGAAUUAAACGCCUUUUCACUGGCGUGAUAUUUCUCCCAAGCAGGAGCGGUGUUGGAAUGCUUGGCUGUGCGAAAUAGUCUUUUCUUUUUAUUGUUUAGUCGUUUUAAUGAGUUGUUGAACCAUGGGGACGAAGGUCGCUCGGUUAAGGUGAUAGUUGGUAUGUAAGUCUCAGCCAGUUCGAGCAUUAUAUUUUAAAAAAGCGUCCAGUUAGUGUCAACUGUGCGCUUCGGGAAACCUAUAAUAUACCAGCUGUAAAACUCGGUUAGUUAAUUGUUAAUACUGACGUGAUCA